UACGAAGGGGUCUAGCGUUGCUCGGAAUGACUGGGCGUAAAGGGCGCGUAGGCGGCUUGCACCGUCAGAUGUGAAAUUCCUGGGCUUAACCUGGGGGCUGCAUUUGAUACGUGUGGGCUUGAGUGCGGAAGAGGGUCGUGGAAUUCCCAGUGUAGAGGUGAAAUUCGUAGAUAUUGGGAAGAACACCGGUGGCGAAGGCGGCGACCUGGUCCGUGACUGACGCUGAGGCGCGAAAGCGUGGGGAGCAAACAGG
rnacentral:rRNA from 1 species